CAUUACUCUUCAGUCAUUCUUCUUGCCAACAUGCUUCGGAAUCGGAAGCGUUCAGUAGUCUUACGAGUAGCAUUACGGGUGUGUGGAUCCGUGGUAAACUGGAAGCUGAAACCUGAAAAUGCCUGACAGAAUGUGUGCUGGGUACGCCGUACGAAAUUGGAUCGAUAUAUUUCACCAUGUCCAUUUACAAGGUGUUGAAAAAGUGAUAUGAAAUUGCUCAUAUUGUUUCAGCCUGAUGGCUGGAUUACUACAGAAAAGCUUGAAUCAGGUCAGAAUCAACUCAUAUGAAAUCAGAGGUGUUAAUGUUUGGCCAAUGCAGUCCUGCUGUGCUCCACAACUAAUUGUGUGAUUGCCAGUCACCCUGUAUGGAGUUUCAACUGUAACAGCCUGUCAAUAUCUUAGGUAAUCACUACUUCAGAAUUGUAUUUUAUAGUGGACAAGUUUGUUUGUCGUUGUGCAUUCACAUGUUUUGCUGAUUGUCUUGUUCAUAUCAGCUGUUUAAAUUUUGUUUCCCUUCUGUUCACGCAACAUGAUCAACUGCAAGUUGGAUCAUGGUUAUUCUUUUGCAGGGUUUCUUACAUAUGCGAUUAUUAUCACAGACCUGGACUGGUCGUUUUGAGUAGUAACAAAUUUAAGUGUUCCUACAGUGUUUUUGAUCAUCUAGCGUUAAUAUGAUAUUAUUGUUUCUAUACAGAGAAUCCUAGUGUUGGAGCUCGGCGUUGCUGCAAUGUGUAAACAUCUCGUGGUUACUGGUGAUUGGUCUCGACCGUGCGCCUUCGCGAUCACUAAUAUGUGAAGAUGGAACUAAAAUUGCAAUCAUGCUCUCGAUUGUUAGUUAAUAUUUAGGAUUCUGCUGGCUUGAAAUCUUCGACGUUGCAUCAUUAAGCUUUGGCCAAUAAAAGAAUUAUUCCUUUAGUCCCUUUCAUUUGGUAAUCUUCCACAUUGAAAAAGUGCAGAGCGAUGACAUCUAGCUUCCCGGUGUGAAAAGUUUGGAAUUCCGAAACUCACUUUUAACGUACAUCAGG